UGUCAGGGGACUGUUAAAGUGCCUGUUUUUGAGGUAAUUCUGUGGCUUAUCUCAGGCUAAAGUCUGGCCUGUACAAGGUUCUGAAGUUUCCUGAAGCCUGGAAAAAGCUAAAUGGUGUCUCCUUGGACAGCACCAUCAAAUGGAUCACUAUUCCAAAAUGAACUCAAAGGCAUCAUUAACAGUUCCUACAUAGCUUUGGUUUCACUACCUGGUUAUAUGUAACACCAGCAGAACAGACAGACUGCACUACAUGGUUAUAUAUAACCUCAGCAAAACAGACAGACUGCAUUACAGUACCUGGUUAUAUGUGAACAGAUCACUUUUUUGCAUUCUUGUUUCUAAAGUGAAUCUGGCUUUUGCUGUGUGUUGGCUUGCAAUGCUGUGGGACGUUUCUCACAGUUACCAGCAAAAGUAAAGAAGCAGAGCCUAACUCACUAUCCACUCUGAGAGAUUUUAUUUCUGAGUUAUUUCUUGCAUCUUUACUUUUGGUUGUAUCUGUGCCAAAUGUCAGAAGAAAGGGGGCCAUUUGGGUAAAAAUUUCAUUUGAGUUCUGUCCAACAGGAUGUCUAAUUCUCAAAGUCAUUUUCCUCAGAGCAUCACUAACUUUAAAUCCUCAAUAUCACUCUUCAUCACUCAAUGCGAUUACUGUUACAUUGCACAUAUCAGAUUUUACAGGAUAUUGCGAUAUUUAAUCAUACAAUAAUAUAUAAACUCUCCUUACAGACUGAACAGCUGUGACCUCACAGAGAAGUCCUGUGAAAUUGUGGCCUCUGCUCUUCAGUCAUCAAACUCACCCCUGAGAGAUCUGGACCUCAGCUACAAUAACCUGGGUGAUUCAGGAGUGAAGCUGCUCUGUGCUGGACUGAUGAGCCCAAACUGUAAACUACAGAGACUAAGGCUGGGUUGGUGUAAUCUCACAGAUGGCUGCUGUGAUGUUCUGGCCUCAGUCCUGCGCUCUCCUCACUCAGAGCUGAGAGAUCUGGAGCUCAGAGACAAUGAGCUGCAGGAUUCAGGAGUGAGAGCGCUCUCUGCUGGACUCGAGGACCCACACUGUAAACUGCAGAGACUGGGACUGAACAGCUGUGACCUCACAGAGAAGUCCUGUGAAAUUGUGGCCUCUGCUCUCCAGUCAUCAAACUCACCCCUGAGAGAUCUGGACCUCAGCAACAAUAACCUGGGAGAUUCAGGAGUGAAGCUGCUCUGUGCUGGACUGAUGAGUCCAAACUGUAAACUACAGAGACUGGACCUCAGCUACAAUAACCUGGGAGAUUCAGGAGUGAAGCUGCUCUGUGCUGCACUGAUGAGUCCAAACUGUAAACUACAGAGACUGGGCACAACAAAGAAAAGCAGGAUAAACCCUCAUGAGUCUUAGGGUUGCCAGGUUUGUGGUUCUUGACCAGAAUGUAAGUUUUCAGUAGAGUCUGUAGUAUCAGGUCACAGGUGAUGACUGAAUGCUGAAUUGACAUUGUAAAAUAUUGACCACUUCAGUACAGUAAUAUGUUUCACGUCUAUCAUAACAAAAAUAACAUAACAUAACAUAACAUAAUGACGAGAAUAGGCCAUUCAGCCCGACAUGCUCACCGUUUUACUACCUACCACUAGUGCUAGCAUUACCUACAAACUAGACAGUAACCAGCACCAUAUCAAGCCUGGUCUUGACAACCCCCAGAGUUUCUGCCUCUACUACAUGACAUGCGCCAAGCUAUUCUACACAGUGACUACUCUCUGUGUGAAAAAAUACUUCCUAACGUCGGUGCGGAAUUUACCUUUUGCUAAUUUCCUUUUAUGCCCCCUCGUCAUACUAACAGAGCUGAACCUGAAGAAUCUCUUGUAGUUCACUUUGUUGAUCCCCUUUAUGAAUUUAAAAGACUCAAUCAAAUAACCAUGAGUCUACUUUUACUAAGCUUGAAGAAGUUAAGCAUCUGAAGUCUUUCCUCAAAACUUUUAUCUUUCAUACCAGGAACCAGUUUGGUUUCCCUUAUUUCAACCUUUUCCAGAUCCUCUAUAUCUUUCUUGUAGUACAGUCCCCAGAACUGCACACAGUUCACUAAGUGUGGUCUGACAAAGGUAUUGUAUGAAAUAAGUAUAACUUCCUUGGAUUUACAGGGCUCCAGACUAACUUUUUACAUUGGAUGCACUGGUGCGCCUAACU